rnacentral:rRNA from 1 species
UACGUAGGGUGCGAGCGUUGUCCGGAUUUAUUGGGCGUAAAGAGCUCGUAGGCGGUUUGUCGCGUCGGCCGUGAAAUCUCCACGCUUAACGUGGAGCGUGCGGUCGAUACGGGCAGACUUGAGUUCGGUAGGGGAGACUGGAAUUCCUGGUGGUAGCGGUGAAAUGGCGCAGAUAAUCAGAGGAACGAGCCGGUGGCGAAGGC